AUCCUAUUAGGACAGAUGAAAUAUAUUAGUGAGAGCAAACCAGAACAUGGAGAAGAUGUAGAAGGAAAACAACAAAGCAAGAAACAUCUUUGGAGUUCAAGAGACCCAUGAACUCUGCAUGAUCUUUGAAUGUCUUCCACUUCAUAUGAAGGUUCAUCCUUUCCCAUUUCAUUUUGAACCAUUGGACGCAAACUCCAUCAGUUGUUGAGACUUGUUCCCUGAGAGACUGUUUCUUACUCUGUGUUUGCACAGGACCUCCAACAGUGGAGCUCCAAUCUUGGCUGAGCCUCUAGAGCCUUGUCUUUAGUGCACGCUAACUAUAGGAUAUGGACCUUGCUACUGUCAUCUCUGCCUUUUUUAACCUGAAGAUUGGAUUAUUGCUAUGUGCUUUACAUGGGACCACAUCUUUGAUGAAUCUGGGGCAGGGCCAGAUUAAGGCAUAGGCACUAUAGACCCAUGAUGAAGGCACCAGAUCUUGGAGUCAUGUAUUUGCAGCAAAAUCUUAGCUUUCAUUAAAAAGAAAGCUCAGAGCCUCAAAGAUAUUUAGGCUCCUAACUUCCAUUGAUUUCAGUCUGGGUCUAAAUCUCCAGCCCCCAUUGUGGCAAAGAAAUGUUUGAAAAUGUGAAUCAAGCAUAACUGAUGGAGUAUUACCUGCCUGAGUCUGCAAAGACUGAAAUAAUAGUUUUGACAGAGGUGACCAGUUCCAGCAUCUCAAUGGGGUGUUAACGCCAAGACCCACUUCUCUGGAGGAACAUGGCGACACCACCCAGCAGGAGCACUCCAUAUGUCACAGAUCAAGAAGAGUGUGCCAGGCUCUGCUGACCCACCCAGACAAAUAAAUCCCAGCUGCAGGUGUAAGUACUGGUAACCUCCCUGCUGCCACCUCUACUUUGGCAAGGGAAAGGCACCUCUGCUGCUCUUAAGGGGAGUGGAAGGAAGGGUGUGCUGCUAGCCAUUCCUGUGGUGAAAGAGUCCUAUGCUGCUGCUCCUGCUUCUCAGGGUCCCCCUGGAAUUGCUAUAGCAGGUGGGGUGGUGGUGUAGAGCCAUGAGAGGCUCUAUCUAAAAGCACCCUUUUCUUCAGAACAACUCUCAGGGAACCAAGAUCAGUGUCUGUAGGGCCCCCAGUGAAGCCUUCACCUGCACUAAUCCAAAAGGUAGCUGAACCUGCACCCAUAAUGUGUUUCAUUGUUAAUUGGUGUGACAGAGUUAUGAGGCCAGUGAGACAUUUAACUGAUGAGUCAGCAGGGGUUGUGAGUGAGAUACCAAUCCAGUUAGUCCACAGCUCUGUGGCAGCACUGUUGGGCAUGCUUAGACCAAAUGGAAAAGUGGGGAAUUUACUUGCACACGUUUAGUUCCGACAUUUACUGGGACUGUGGAUUUCUGGCUGAGGGCAGCGUGUAAACUUCAGAGCUAGAAGGAUGGAACUCUCUGCUCUGUCUAUAGGGGAAAAGAUAAAAGCCAGCCCUGGCGAUCUUCAUAUGAAUUAUAAUGUUGCUUAACCAUAGUUCUGCAUACUGUGUUUUGUUGCUGUAAUUGAAGUUGCCUAUGUUCUCACUGUAUAAAUGGUGAUUGAUUAUUAUGAUGACUAAGUUCUGGAUCUUAACAAGCCAUACAAUUAAUACAUUGGAUCUCUGGGCUGGCCAUACUCCUGAUAUACAGAAUGGGUUUUGUUUGUUUUAUUGUAUGUAAAUAUAGUUAGCAUAUUGCUUUCGUUGAUUAUUCCCUUUUCCUCACAGUAUUUGUGGUUCCAUAUCCCCAAGGACUUGUGAGUAAGGGUGAGCCACUUAGAAGCCUGGGGAAAUUGUAUUUUAAUUUCUCAAAGCCAGAAAUAGGAGUACUGCUCUGGAUGGGGGCUUGAGCCAUCAAUUUAUUUAUUUUAGAAAAAAGACCUCUAGACAGAUUGAACCUGGCCAUUGUUGCCGCCAUUGGCAUCUCGCAGAAGAGUUACAUUCUUGAUAAAUAUAUGCAUGCAGAUUCUGCACUGUGGCACCUCAUGUACCCCACUAGAAUGGAGGAUAUAGAAAUUAAUUGGAUAAAUUGUUUUAGAUAAACAUCAAAGUUGGUAAUGCAAAGAUGACUGACAAGAUACCACUCCCAAAUUUACAUAAUUUUUUUAGGGGGCAUGUUUUUUGGCUAAGACGGAAUCAAGAUCCUGCAAUAGAAGUGGUGCCUAUAUUCAGAACCUUAUAAAGUAUGGUGCAUACUUCAUGGACACACCGUUUUUUAAAAUAUACAACCCCUGAGAAGAUAAACUAAUACAUGAACAUUGAAGUUAGAGUGUGCUUCACUACAUCAUGUAGAAUGCUCUAGGCUCAAAGAAAAAUGGAGGUCAGCAAGCAAAAGUAGUAUAGCUUCUUUGACUGGGGAAUUAUAUGGCUAUCAGCUAAUUUAAACUAAAUCUCAUUUAGAUCACCUGUUCUGAGCUUAUUGGUAGGGUGUUUGACACUAAUGCUUGCUGAGAUCAUGGAGAAGAGAACCCAGAACAAAUUGUGAAAAGGAUCCUGGUCAAACAAUGGGAGAGCUGAGAGUCUCUAUGGCUGAUUGCGCACAAUAAACUACAGUGCUACAGCUUGUGGAAGACUAAAAAUCAGGUGGGAGAAAUAAAACAAAUCAGGCAGAGUGCUUUACCGCAAGAGCAGGAGGGAGAUAAAAUCCAUCUUAAUUCAUUUAUACUGGUCCAUAUUGACCAAAUGAACAAAUACAUGUUUUUGUUAGCUGCAUUUUAUGGAAUAAUUGGCUUUCUGACACAUUGUUUAGUUACAUUAACUCGAAAAUGUCAAAAAGUGAGUUUUAAGCGCUCAGAUCAGAGCCGAUUUGUUAUUUGGUCUGGGUUUAUGAUACAUGUGGGUGGCUUUUUCAUUUUUGUUUUAUAUGCUUUUAAAAUUAUUGGGGCUCACACAGGCCUCUGACUCAUUUCCCAGGAGGGAGAGUUAGGCAUUUUCCCCCCUGUUUUGCUACUCCUGACUGUGUGAUAAAUAAGAUCAAGGGAUGCCCAGUUCAUCUUUCUCCUUAUUACUGUGGCUCACAUUCAUAAAGGAUGCUUUUCUUUUGGGGAUCACUGCUGCUUGCCUCCUCUUCCUUAAGAAGUCAUUUUGUCCAUCAUCCUAAAACAGGGUUUCUCAAACUUCUGAAAACUGAGACCAACUUCAGGAAAAUAAAACCAGUUCCACCUUACUUCUGCCCCACCAUGUGCUGUUAAAGGCCCACCCAGUCCAUUCAAGUCUGGAAUUUUAAUUAAAUUGUAUUUUUAGAUAUGUCCUCCAAUUUUGUAUUUUAAGGAAUGACGUAUAUUCUGUAUUGGAUGUUAUAUCUCUGAACAUGUUUUAUUAUUUAAAACUGAAAUAGAAAGCUGUCAGGUUUACAAUAAUAUUACUUAACAGAUAUUUUAAUGCUUGUUAUUUCUUUUCUCCAACAAAUCAUCUCACAUCUAUGGGCUCCUCAGAUGUGGCUGCUUCUUGACUUGGGCUUGGUUCCUUUUGGACUUGUGUGGUAGGUGAAAGUGGUGGUAUUUCCCA